UACGUAGGGGGCGAGCGUUGUCCGGAAUGAUUGGGCGUAAAGGGCGCGUAGGCGGGGCGGCAAGUCCGAUGUGAAAUCCCGCGGCUUAACUGCGGAACUGCAUCGGAAACUGCCGUCCUUGAGUAUCAGAGGGGAAAGCGGAAUUCCUAGUGUAGCGGUGAAAUGCGUAGAUAUUAGGAGGAACAUCAGUGGCGAAGGCGGCUUACUGGACUGUAACUGACACUGAGGCUCGAAAGCGUGGGGAGCAAACAGGAUUAGAUACCCCGGUAGUCCCU
rnacentral:rRNA from 1 species